rnacentral:rRNA from 1 species
GGGGGAUAUUGCACAAUGGGGGAAACCCUGAUGCAGCGACGCCGCGUGAGCGAAGAAGGCCUUCGGGUCGUAAAGCUCUGUUUCGAGGGAAGAAAAUGACGGUACCUCGGGAGAAAGCCCCGGCUAACUACGUGCCAGCAGCCGCGGUAAUACGUAGGGGGCAAGCGUUAUCCGGAAUCAUUGGGCGUAAAGGGUGCGUAGGUGGUCAAUAAAGUCAGAGGUGAAAGGCUAGGGCUCAACCGUAGUAAGCCUUUGAAACUUAUUGACUUGAGUGCAGGAGAGGAGAGUGGAAUUCCUAGUGUAGCGGUGAAAUGCGUAGAUAUUAGGAGGAACACCAGUGGCGAAGGCGACUCUCUGGACUGUAACUGACGCUGAGGCACGAAAGCGUGGGUAGCGAAC